rnacentral:rRNA from 1 species
GAUGAACGCUGGCGGCGUGCCUAAUACAUGCAAGUCGAGCGAACGGACGAGAAGCUUGCUUCUCUGAUGUUAGCGGCGGACGGGUGAGUAACACGUGGAUAACCUACCUAUAAGACUGGGAUAACUUCGGGAAACCGGAGCUAAUACCGGAUGAUAUUUUGAACCGCAUGGUUCAAAAGUGAAAGACGGUCUUGCUGUCACUUAUAGAUGGAUCCGCGCUGCAUUAGCUAGUUGGUAAGGUAACGGCUUACCAAGGCAACGAUGCAUAGCCGACCUGAGAGGGUGAUCGGCCACACUGGAACUGAGACACGGUCCAGACUCCUACGGGAGGCAGCAGUAGGGAAUAUUCCGCAAUGGGCGAAAGCCUGACGGAGCAACGCCGCGUGAGUGAUGAAGGUCUUCGGAUCGUAAAACUCUGUUAGUAGGGAAGAACAUAUGUGUAAGUAACUGUGCACAUCUUGACGGUACCUAAUCAGAAAGCCACGGCUAACUACGUG